CUCCCAACUUUCUACUCCCUUCUCUAACAGAGCUUCUCCUCCCUUUGCUUUGGGGAAACUUGCCCGUGGUUCACCAUGGUUGCAGGCCCUGAAUUGCAAUUCUUUGCUGAUCUAGAACAAACCCAUUUUUGCUGGAGAAAUAACUAGCUGUUUAUUUGCUUAAGGUCACCAUUUUGGUGGCCCAUACAGGGAUACAGAGGAAACCCCUGAGGACUCCGAGGCUGCUGAGGAAACAGGUGGGGUGCUCACAGAGCCCGUUGAGCUCGCUGCUUUUCUCCGGACCCUGGAGUUUGAGAGAAAUUUUCCCUGGCUCACCUCGCUGUAGCGGUCAGCAGAGCAUAAUGGUUAAGAUCCUAUGUUUUGGAGUCUGACUGACGUGGGUGUGUGUCCUGGCUCUACCAUCGACUUUGGACACAGCCUCCGAAAUUUACACUGGGACUACUUCAUGUGAUACUGGAGAAUGUAUCCCUUUUGGUUCUCAAAUCUGCAUCUAAACCUUGACGUUUCUAGAUCUUUGUAAGAAGAGACAACGCAUCUCUGUUGUGGACCUUCUGCCUCAGAGGACCCACCCUGCUACCAUCAGAACUUGCCUUUUGAGGAUUAGUUAAUGCCUACAGCAUUUAAAACAAUCUGAGACUUCAGAAUGUAUUUUGCAUCCAUUCUUCCUUCAUUUAUAAAGAAAAUGAAGUGGAAAAGUUUUCAAACCUGUAGUUUUAAAGACAAUCCUUGAAAGCUCACAAUGAGUGAGGAAACUUUUUUUUUAAAGAUUAUUGUUAACUUGAAAUGCUUUUCAUAAUUGAUAUCAUGAGACAUCCCUCUAAUAUAUCUAUCUAUCUAAUAAUAUAAUAUAUAAGACAUCCCGUCAUUAUAUUUGGCAAUAGGCAGGACUCAGAUAAGGGUUUAAGAGAGCUAAAAACAAGGAAAACAUAUGUUUGUUAUCUAAAUUGUUAUGUGUAUCCUGGCACUUAAUAUUUCUAAAGUAGUGGGGAUUUUAAACAGCUCAUUCUUGUCAGUUGCUUUUUAAUGAAUUUG
rnacentral:lncRNA from 1 species